rnacentral:rRNA from 1 species
UCCUACGGGAGGCAGCAGUGAGGAAUUUUGCGCAAUGGGGGAAACCCUGACGCAGCAACGCCGCGUGAGUGAUGAAGGCUUUCGGGUCGUAAAGCUCUGUCAAGUGGGAAGAACCUAUAUGAUGUUAAUACCAUCAUAUACUGACGGUACCACUGAAGGAAGCACCGGCUAACUCCGUGCCAGCAGCCGCGGUAAUACGGGGGGUGCAAGCGUUAUUCGGAAUCAUUGGGCGUAAAGAGCACGUAGGCGGCUUGGUAAGUCAGAUGUGAAAGCCCGGGGCUUAACCCCGGAAGUGCAUUUGAUACUGCUAGGCUUGAGUAUGGGAGAGGGAAGUGGAAUUCCUGGUGUAGAGGUGAAAUUCGUAGAUAUCAGGAGGAACACCGGUGGCGAAGGCGACUUCCUGGACCAAUACUGACGCUGAGGUGCGAAGGCGUGGGUAGCAAACAGGAUUAGAUACCCUGGUAGUCCACGCAGUAAACGUUGUUCACUAGGUGUAGCGGGUAUUGACCCCUGCUGUGCCGCAGUUAACGCAUUAAGUGAACCGCCUGGGGAGUACGGCCGCAAGGUUAAAACUCAAAUGAAUUGACGG